GGAGGCCUCUGGCUCUCGGUCUCCUCGGCCACAACAGCAACAGCAAGCACGACCGCCACCGAGCGGCACGCUGACCUUCGACGAGAUCUCCAAGCUCUUCUCGCUUCCCAUCGCCGAGGCCGCCCCCGUCCUCGGAUCUGGCGGGUGGCUUUGUUUGUUUGGAUUUCUGUGAGUGCUCUUGAGGAACUCGGUUGUGGUGCACUUUACCUUCAUUAGAAUGAGGGUGGUUCUCAUUCUCUUUCAAGCAUACUGUUACUAUUGUGGCUCAACAUAAAACUAUGAAAUUAGCACAAAGAAAAAAUAAAUUUCACCUUGGGAACA